rnacentral:lncRNA from 1 species
AACCCUAACAUCUCUCAAAACAAAUCCUUAACCAACAAAGCGUUUGUUCUCGUCCCAUAUUAUUUCAGAUCGUUCUAUUCUGGUCUUGACGAGAUAAGUCCUAUCCUUUAAUCUUACGAUUGUGCUAGUGUAAAUUCAUUUUUAUUAUUAAACCAAACGGAAAGGUUUAUUGUAACCUCAUGUCUCAUAAUGAAACAUCUCAUAUGUAUCUCAUAUUUUAUUAGUUGAAUUUAGUACGUAUAUGUGAAUCUCCUUAAAAGUUAGAUUACUAAUCGUUGUUGUCUCCAUCCUCUUUUGCCUAUGAGUCAGAUUACAUGUUUCCAAAUCGAACCAAGGUUGUUACCGUCAGAACUCAUCUCCAAUCAUGGAGGAAACACCUUUGAGGCCUAGCAGCCGG